GCCUCUGUGGAUGAGUGGUACAUCACCUCAGCUUCAUUCAUAUGAGAUAUAUAACUGUUCUCUGAAGUUCUCUGAAGAGUCCUGGGUUCGAAUCCCACCGGAGGCA